rnacentral:sRNA from 1 species
UUCGCCAAUAAAUUCUUACAACUAUGUUGCAAAAACUAUACAAGAAAUAAGGCAACAACAAGGAACAACAGUAGAAAAAAACAUAAAAACUUUCAAUAUUCGUUAUAGGUAACAAAUCAUUUUUAUAUGACAUUCGUUUUCGUUCGUGCCGUCAGUUGGUGACAGUUAUUGACAAUUUAUGUUUACGACCAAAUAAAUAUUUGAUAUAAGACAAAAAUAGCUCAGCGAAAAAACGAAAACGCAAACGAAUAGAAGAAACAUCCAAUGGAGAGAACAAGGAGAAAUAAGCUUAAUAAAGGAUAAUAGAAGUUGGAACAUUAACAAAGAUAGCUAUCGCGAAAGGAGGAAACAGUUUGAAGUCAAACUUUUAUGAAACAAAAAGGUCAAGGCAAUAAAUUAGGUACAAGGUAUGAAUGGUAUGCAACACAUCGUUCUAGGCUCUAAGGGAGUACACUCCUGAAAUAUGCCUGUCAGGAUCAAAUUAGAUUUAAACCAAAGUUCUUUUAGAGAACAGUACCAAUAUGAUAUCCUUAACUGGUGCCAAAUAUUUGAAGAGUUGUAGGCCUAUCGGGACUAUGAGGGGUUGUAACUAAAGGUCCAUGGAGGUAUGGUAUAAACCUCUCAUCUGUUUGCAGUACAUCGAAAAAUCCAUUUCCAACUGUACAAAGUAAAUAAAAUUCGGAUCGUUGUAAAAUUCUAA